rnacentral:hammerhead_ribozyme from 1 species
GCACUACCGAAGAGUCCCACAACAGGAUGAAACGGCCGUCCAGUAC